rnacentral:rRNA from 1 species
GACGAACGCUGGCGGUGUGCUUAACACAUGCAAGUGGUGCGACGAACCAGAGCUUGCUCUGGGGCAAAGCCGCGAACGGGUGAGUAACACGUGGGUAAUCUACCCCGAUGACCGGGACAACCCGAGGAAACUCGGGCUAAUACCGGAUGUGGUGCGGAGACAUAAGUCUCUUCACUAAAGGUAGCUUCGGCUUCCGCAUUGGGAGGGGCCCGCGGCCCAUUAGCUUGUUGGUGGGGUCAAGGCCUACCAAGGCAACGAUGGGUAGCUGGUCUGAGAGGACGAUCAGCCACACUGGGACUGAGACACGGCCAAGACUCCUACGGGAGGCAGCAGUGGGGAAUCUUGCGCAAUGCGCGAAAGCGUGACGCAGCAACACCGCGUGAGGGAAGAAGGCCUUAGGGUUGUAAACCUCUUUCAGAUGGGACGAAGGUUCUCCGGUGAAUAGCCGAGAGGAUUGACGGUACCGUCAGAAGAAGCUCCGGCUAACUACGUG